rnacentral:rRNA from 1 species
AUUGAACGCUGGCGGCACGCCUACACAUGCAAGUCGAGCGGCAGCGCGAUAUGUAGCAAUACAUAUUGGCGGCGAGCGGCGGACGGGUGAGGAACACGUAGGAACCUACCCUCGAGUGGGGGAUAACCAAGGGAAACUUUGGCUAAUACCGCAUGAUUUCGAGAGAGCAAAGCUGCCGCAAGGUGGCGCUCGAGGAGGGGCCUGCGUCCGAUUAGCUAGUUGGUGAGGUAAGAGCUCACCAAGGCGAUGAUCGGUAACUGGUCUGAGAGGACGACCAGUCGCACUGGGACUGAGACACGGCCCAGAAUCCUACGGGAGGCAGCAGUGGGGAAUAUUGGACAAUGGGGGCAACCCUGAUCCAGCGAUGCCGCGUGAGUGAAGAAGGCCUUCGGGUCGUAAAGCUCUUUAGGUUGGGAAGAAGAGUGAUGGAGGAAAUGCUAUCACUUUGACGGUACCGACAGAAUAAGCACCGGCAAACUCUGUGCCAGCAGCCGCGGUAACAC